ACCCCGCCCUGGCUCCCAAACGGCACGGAGUGCGGCUGACGGUGAAAAAACGGACCAGCGCCGCCCGUUGUAGUGUUGCCCUCCUCAAGUGGAAGUACGUGAGCAGCAGCUCAGGACAGUUCACAGCGCUGGAAACGGGUAUAGGUCUAACUAGCAAUCACUGAGCACCUACCCCGGCUCACACCAGGAAUUUUAGGCAGCUGCAGCUCUGCCCGUGGCCAGAGGACGUUAAAGCAUCUCCAGACACCAGCUACACAAGUUGCCACCAGGCCGGAGGAACAGGCAAGGAGCUAGGAACCAUGGAAAUGCAGCCAAAGCCGUGAUGUGUCAGCACAUCAGCCCACCUGAGCAGUGUAUCCCAGCACAGGCUUUAGGCUGCUGAGCAGUGCAUUAGUUACAACACACUUUAAGAUGACUCUCAGCAACCUGAUCUGACUUUGAUGAUGGAUCUAAAUUCAGUGUGUGGUCCACGCGCUUCAGUGGAACUCUUCGCAUCAGCUGAGCGAGCACCUGAAAAUGUCAGGUGGUGUCAGCAGACUUGGAUGCUAACGGAGGUUCCUCAAAGAUCCUGGUGUUAGUAACCAGGUAACUACGGGGAUUCAGGAUUGUUUAGAAGACUGAAGAUAGGGCGAGAAAAAAAGAUUAAAAAUAGAAAAGUGCCUACCUGAAGCAUAUCUGCAGCAUCUACCUCCUAACCUCAUCCUCACUCCACCUCCACACUCUUAAACAGACCAGGCUUUGUACCGUUUGUGCCCUGGCGUCCUCCGAAACCCUUGGGACUGCGCGGGAGGAACCCGGCGCCCAUCCUGCGCUCGCACCCAGGGAGAUGCUGCCGGCUCAGAGUCACCCACCUCCAGCAUGUUUAGGCUGCUAAAUUACAGACCGCGCCUACCUAAGCCUUGCCGCGGGCCGAGCGGCUCCCCGGUCCCGGCACGGGGGACACGCGGAACGCGGCCACGCGGGGGCGCCGGGGCUCGCCGCGGGGGACCGGAGCGGCCCGUGGGGCUCAGCCUCGGGAGAUGGGCUCGAAUUUAUUCCGUGAACUGAACGGGAAGAGCAGACUUGCUUUAAACGGUCUCAAGGACUGUUUUAAGCAGUCUUAAGGACUGCUUUAAGCGGCGAUAACCAAGCAUCCGAGGUUGGCUCGAAAGGGUUGCACGCCACCGGUCUUCAACCUUGGAGAUGUUCAAAGUCUAAAAAGCAGAUUCCAGGCUGGUUCUGAUGCCACAAAUGAUAAAGAGCAGUUGCUUUGAGGUUUCAAAGUCCAUGGGAAUAAAUAUAGCGUGUUUCAGAAGGCAGGCUAAUUCAAAGCAUUUUAAAAAUAGAUGGCAGGGGAGAAGGAAGAGUCUGGUGCCAUUUUGAGAUGGAUGAGCAAAAGCUAGAUAAACCCACGAACAGACACAACACUGAACCCAUCACCAGCCUUUCUUUGAGACAGGGAAGAAAGGAGAGCAGGCUCCCACGGAGCCGUGGCACCCCCUCUCCUGGGCAGGGGUCCCCGUGUCAGCAGCGCGUUGCGUUCCUCUUCCCCACGGACAAAAGCAGUGAUGGAAAAGGAGCAAAACUGCCUGCAAAGCAGAUCAAGCCUGGAGUGACAG